rnacentral:rRNA from 1 species
UACGUAGGGUGCAAGCGUUAAUCGGAAUUACUGGGCGUAAAGCGUGCGCAGGCGGUGAUAUAAGACAGGUGUGAAAUCCCCGGGCUUAACCUGGGAACUGCAUUUGUGACUGCAUCGCUGGAGUGCGGCAGAGGGGGAUGGAAUUCCGCGUGUAGCAGUGAAAUGCGUAGAUAUCUGGAGGAACACCGGUGGCGAAGGCGGCAUCCUGGACCGACACUGACGCUGAGGAGCGAAAGCCAGGGGAGCAAACGGG